GUCAUUAGUUGCUACAUUCAGUUGGGCACUCUAAUGAGACUGCCGGUGACAAGCCGGAGGAAGGUGGGGAUGACGUCAAGUCCUCAGUGGCCCUUAUAGGUGGGGCUACACACGUCAUACAAUGGCUGGUACAAAGGGUUGCCAACCCGCGAGGGGGAGCCAAUACCCAUAAAGCCAGUCGUAGUCCGGAUCGUAGUCUGCAACUCGACUACGUGAAGUCGGAAUCGCUAGUAAUCGUGGAUCAGAAUGUCACGGUGAAUACGUUCCCGGGUCCUU
rnacentral:rRNA from 1 species